AUUGAACGCUGGCGGCACGCUUAACACAUGCAAGUCGAACGGCAGCAUGUUUUGUAGCAAUCUAAAAUGAUGGCGAGAGGCGGACGGGUGAGAAACGCGUAGGAAUCUACCCUAAAGAGCGGGUCAACCCGAGGACACUCGGGCUAAUACCGCAUAUCACUCUCUGGAGGCAAGGCUGGGGCAACCUGGCGCGUUAGGAGGAGCCUGCGUCCGAUGAGCUAGUUGGUUAGGUAAAGGCUGACCAAGGCGAUGAUCGGUAGCUGGUCUGAGAGGAUGAUCAGCCACACUGGGACUGAGACACGGCCCAGACUCCUACAGGAGGCAGCAGGGGGGAAUAUUGGACAAUGGGGGCAACCCUGAUCCAGCAAUGCCGCGUGUGUGAAGAAGGCCUUCGGGUUGUAAAGCACUUUAGUUGGGGAAGAAGGUAUAUUGUUUAAGAGAUGAUACAUUUGACUGUACCCAAAGAAUAAGCACCGGCUAACUCUGUGCCAGCCGCCGCCGUAA
rnacentral:rRNA from 1 species